GUGGUGGAGGUGGUGGUGGUGGUGAAGGGAUAGUGACUGGUGGGAUCUCAAAGGACUCAAGUGGUGGUGGUGGGUGUCUCCAUUGAGGGAGUGGUCCAGCUAGAAGAAGAGUCUGCAAGAGAGGACCAGCUUUCAUCACUGCCUGCAAAAGCUUUCCCUUUUCAGGUAAAGGCUUUUGAGGCACCACCUCUAUUGUUGCUUGAGGAGCUACUGCUGGUGGCAAUUGAGGUUGUUGUGGAAUUGGGUCAACAACUGGAGAUGAAACAAUGCUCUCUUCACAAUCUGAUGAUGAGAAGCCAUUGUUAGAGUCGAUUGCUCUUCUGGGUUCAUCUUCAAUGCUGGAAAUCCCAGAGAGAGGAGCAUUUUGUUGCUGCUGUUGUUGAUGCAAGAGCUUCUCAAGGAGAAGUCUUUGGCAUUUUUCCCUUGCUUCAUCCCUCUCACUUGUGAUUUUGUCAAGCAGAUCUUUGAGAUGACUCAACUGAUCAUCUCUCUUUCUUAUCUCUUCUUGAGCUGCUAGCCUUGUUUGCUCAAGCUCCAAACUUGUGAACAAAAGGGAAUUCCUUAACUCUUCCAAGGUCUGCUUUAGUCACAACAGAGAAUACCCAUUAACAAAAUUGCUUUCAAAACGCCAAAAAAGAAACAACCCAUCAGUCUUUCUAAUUGCAGAACACCAAAACAGAAAGCGAAAAUUGAAGAAAAUGUAAUUUAAUUACCUUUCCUUGGCAGUAGUAAGCCCAGCCAAGAAGAGAACUUCUUUGGUUGUCCAUGCUCCUAGACACUACACUACACCUAUGAACUCAACUCUGAACCAAGAGAUUUUCUUAGGAGAAAAAAAUGGAGAGAUGUGGGGGGUUUUUUAGUGGUUUAGGUAGCUCUUAUAACAAGA
rnacentral:misc_RNA from 1 species